UUGCAAACAUUGUCGAAGUCACGGAGCCAGCUGUUACAGAGUCAGAGAACAUUUGUCAGGCCAGAAGUAGACUUGUUCCAACUGAAGCAGCUCCCGAAAUAAACCUUUCUACAGGUGACCUUAGUAGAUUUGUUACAACUGAAGCAGCUCCAAAACUAAACCCUUCUACAAGUGACCUUAGUAGAUUUGUUACAAUUGAAGCAGCUCCGGAAAUAAACCCUUCUACAGGUGACCUUAGUAGACUUGUUACAACUGAAGCAGCUCCAGAAAUAAACCCUUCUACAGGUGACCUUAGUAGACUUGUUACAACUGAAGCAGCUCCGGAAAUAAACCCUUCUACAGGUGAUCUUAGCAGACUUGUUACAACUGAAGCAGAUCCGGAACUAAACUCUUCUACAGGUGAGCUUAGUGUGCAAGUAGGC
rnacentral:lncRNA from 1 species